AUGUAUCGACUCGAAUCAAGGGGGCUUUGUGAAAAUCGUAUCAGAAGAGAAAUCGUGGCCGUCGGAUCAUAUGCGUUGCGAAGAUCCCCCCUCUUCCGCGUCCCGGCGGCGCCGCCUCCGCGCCGCGCUCCCCUGAAACCUCCCCCCGGGACGCCGGCGCCUCUCCUUCUUCCCCCCACCCCUAGCCACGGAUUCCAUCGCCGCGGAGGACGAGGCGCGCUCAUCGAUCCGCCGCUCCCCGUCGACGACGAAGCGACAGCAUCAAGGGUUCUAACCACCUCUUCCCCCGCCGUCGCCGUGAGCGCCUUUUUCUCUUCCUCCUUCUCCGGAAGAAUUGGGCGGGGGAUUUCGCUCUCAUCAGGAAGAAGAGAGCAUCGUGCCAUUUCCUUGCAAGCAGGAUAAUAAGUAUCUACCGAAGCUUCGGUGAAAGCUCAACAAGAUUGAUGAGGACAAGGAUUGAGCCAUAGGAAAAGCCAAGGCGGCUAGGGCUGAGCAAAUAUGCCCUUAACUACCCAUUAUAUAUUUUCAGAAUUUCUAUUGUAUUUUUAUAGGGCCUGAAUUGGAUUGCAGAGUUUGGCCUAGAAUUUAAGCACUACCAGCCCUAGGCAUGUCUUGGCCCCUGGACGAGGAUAAAUCAUAUCAUAUCUACGGUGGAUUUUCACCCACCACUUUACUCUCCAUUAUAUAUAAUGAUGAUUCUUGCCGCAUC
rnacentral:lncRNA from 1 species